GUUUAAUAAUUGUGCUGAAUGUGUUUUAUAAACAGUAAUCUUUUCUCCUCUGGUCAGGUGGUGCUGCAGAUCUCCAGAAGCCCAGCCUCUCCGUCAGCAGUAGGAUGAUGACUCUCUGUGACUGGAUUAAACUGAAAUGUGCAGCUGGAUCAGAUUCAGAUCUGCAGUGUUCUUUCAGAAUCCACCACCUGAACACCUCCAUCACUUCCCUCAACCUGUCUCACAGUGAGGGGUGUGAGCAGCAUGUGAGCGGGGAGACUCUGAUACGGGCUGGAGCUCCAGGCCUGCAGGAACUCUGGACUGAGUUGGAGAUCUCCUGUACUGUGACCAACGGAUCAGAGCACAGCGAGAGCAGACCAGAAACAGUAACCGUGUGGAGGAUAAAUUCACAGUCUUUAUACAUUAUUACUGUUGUGACUGGUGUGGGAGGCUUCAUUCUCCUGGUGUGGAUCUGUGUCUGCCUGAUUUGCAUCAUCAGUUUACCUAUAAAAGGUAGGAUGCUUCAGUACUACUACUGUUAAGAAGCUUAUUUAGCUCCGAGUGGUCCAGCGGACUAAGCUCUGAUUCUACGAUCGGGAGAUCGCAGGUUCAAAUCCAGGUCAUGCAGCUUGACAUCAGCUGCCGGAGCCCCGAGAGAGCAGCUUAAAAGUGUUAAACAAACCAAAAUACUCUGUGAAGCAUUCAGGUGCUCUUAUCUGGGGAGCUGUUAACUUGCGGUUUGUGAGGCUGGUAACUGUGAUGAGCUUAUCCUGUACAACAGAGUGAACUGGGUUGGUCCUGAUGAGGGCCAAUUUCAUCAUUUUUUAACGUUUUUGAUGGUCUUUGCAGUGACUGCAGUUGAGGAUACUUUAUUGAAAGUUCUUGAAAUGUUUUGGGCUGAUUGAUUUGAUUGAUUUCUUAAAGUAUUUUUUUCUUAACUUAGUUGAGUAGUUCUUGCUCCUCAUAAUCUGGAUUAAAACAUUAUUUAAAUAUUCACUAUUCACUGUCUACCUGUAACUCUACCUCUUCACUACUUUACUUUAACUGAUGCUCUCAAACACAUUAAGAGACUAGAAAUUCAAAAACUAAAUCUUAGCAUGUGAAAUUUUCUAAAUUUAAGGCAAUAAAUCUUAUUUUCUUCUCUGAUAAGACUUUUUG
ensembl:lncRNA